rnacentral:lncRNA from 1 species
UGCUUAUGACAUUUCACAAACUACUUCAGAACAUUGUUCCUCCUUAGAAGAAACUUUGAUCCAUACAAAAUUCGGAGGAUUUAAAUCUAUCAUCACUAAGCAUGCAUCGGAAGUUUGUAAUGCAACAUUUCUGGAGUUUGAUACCUCUAUUCAAAACAACAUAAAUUUGAAACAAAGACCACAGAGACCAGUCCUUCAUAGCAAUACUACUAUUCGGAGGAUUUAAAUCUAUCAUCACUAAGCAUGCAUCGGAAGUUUGUAAUGCAACAUUUCUGGAGUUUGAUACCUCUAUUCAAAACAACAUAAAUUUGAAACAAAGACCACAGAGACCAGUCCUUCAUAGCAAUACUACUAUGGUGAGUUUUUCUAAUAAGAACGUAAAAGAUGAAUGUGCCUUUUUUAUCACAUUCACCAGCUGAUAUAUAUCACUGACGAAAAGUAAACAAGUUCAAUGUAAGUGACGAAAUAACUUAGACAAAC